rnacentral:rRNA from 1 species
GACGAACGCUGGCGGUGUGCUUAACACAUGCAAGUCGAACGGUAAGGCCCUUUCGGGGGUACACGAGUGGCGCACGGGUGCGUAACACGUGAGUAACCUGCCCUCAUCUCUGGGAUAACAGUCGGAAACGGUUGCUAAUACUGGAUAUGAGCCUGCAAGGCAUCUUGUGGGUUGGAAAGAUUUUUUGGUUGGGGAUGGACUCGCGGCCUAUCAGCUUGUUGGUGAGGUAGUGGCUCACCAAGGCUUCGACGGGUAGCCGGCCUGAGAGGGCGACCGGCCACAUUGGGACUGAGAUACGGCCCAAACUCCUACGGGAGGCAGCGGUGGGGAAGAUUGCACAAUGGACGGAAGUCUGAUGCAGCAACGCCGCGUGCGGGAUGACGGCCUUCGGGUUGUAAACCGCUUUCAAUUGUGACGAAGCUUUUUGUGACGGUAGCAGUAGAAGAAGCACCGGCUAACUACGUG